rnacentral:rRNA from 1 species
GAUGAACGCUGGCGGCGUGCCUAAUACAUGCAAGUCGAGCGAACGGACGAGAAGCUUGCUUCUCUGAUGUUAGCGGCGGACGGGUGAGUAACACGUGGAUAACCUACCUAUAAGACUGGGAUAACUUCGGGAAACCGGAGCUAAUACCGGAUAAUAUUUUGAACCGCAUGGUUCAAAAGUAAAAGACGGUCUUGCUGUCACUUAUAGAUGGAUCCGCGCUGCAUUAGCUAGUUGGUAAGGUAACGGCUUACCAAGGCAACGAUGCAUAGCCGACCUGAGAGGGUGAUCGGCCACACUGGAACUGGGACACGGUCCAGACUCCUACGGGAGGCAGCAGUAGGGAAUCUUCCGCAAUGGGCGAAAGCCUGACGGAGCAACGCCGCGUGAGUGAUGAAGGUCUUCGGAUCGUAAAACUCUGUUAUUAGGGAAGAACAUAUGUGUAAGUAACUGUGCACAUCUUGACGGUACCUAAUCAGAAAGCCACGGCUAACUACGUGCCAGCAGCCGCGGUAAUACGUAGGUGGCAAGCGUUAUCCGGAAUUAUUGGGCGUAAAGCGCGCGUAGGCGGUUUUUUAAGUCUGAUGUGAAAGCCCACGGCUCAACCGUGGAGGGUCAUUGGAAACUGGAAAACUUGAGUGCAGAAGAGGAAAGUGGAAUUCCAUGUGUAGCGGUGAAAUGCGCAGAGAUAUGGAGGAACACCAGUGGCGAAGGCGACUUUCUGGUCUGUAACUGACGCUGAUGUGCGAAAGCGUGGGGGAUCAAACAGG